rnacentral:misc_RNA from 1 species
CUUAAAAUGCCCUCUGGCCUCUGGCGAGUGUCGUCUUUUGGGAUCGCUUCCGCGACAUCUCUGCAACCACUGAACCAGCGGAGAAGAGAGGCAAGAAACCCUCGAGCUCUAUCUCCAAAUCUCUCUUAGCGGGCACUAACUCAGGCAAACUCCAAAACACAAAAAUUCAAUGUAAGAAACUCCACCAGAAGCUCUCAUGGCAUUCAUUUCUAGUGAGCAAGCUUAUUAAACAUGGUCUCUUGUAUCUGAAAAAGAAAAUCUUUUUUCAUCAAUCUAACCAUGAUCUAUUUCCAUAAACUUAGAACACUGUCCAUUCUCAAAUGUGUUUCCUCAAAUUUUGUUGAUAUCUUCAAAACCCCACAAUGGCCUAUGGGGUCUUUAUUUCACAUUGCAAAGAAUCCUAGGUUUUAUGGUAGAAAAAGAGUAGUUCGAACUGAAAAUUGUGAUCAUUUAGCUAAAUCUCCGUUGGGUAAUGGCCAAAGCACUGCCAAAAUCUCUCGGGCCACUAGAAAAGGAGCUCAGGGUGCAUUAUUGGAGUAUUUAUAUCUUACUAGAAACAUCCCAUUUAUGGAUGCACAGGAUAUGAGUUUAAACUCACCUCACUUUCUAGGAAAGUUAUUACAGAAGGUUGAUACUGAGACAGAUAUCUGGUGGUCUGUUGCCCGUUUCUUGCGGUAUCAUCCCAUUAAUGAAUUUGAACCUUUCUUUGAGAGUCUGGGUUUAAAACCUUCUGAGUAUACUCCUCUUCUUCCCCGUGAUUUGAUGUUUUUAAAUGAUGAUGACUUAUUGCUAGAGAACUAUCAUGUUUUGUGUAAUUAUGGGAUUCCAAGAAAUAAGAUGGGAAGGAUUUACAAGGAAGCAACACAAGUUUUCCGAUAUGAUUAUGGUGUCUUGGGAUCGAAACUUCAAGCUUACGAACAAUUGGGGCUUAGCCAGUCUUUUAUUGGUAAGGUGGUUGCUUGUAGCCCUUAUCUUUUGAUUGGGGAUGUGAAUAUAGACUUUAUAAAGGUAUUUGAAAUAUUGAGGAAAGGAGGAAUUGAGUUAGAUUGGAUUGAGGACCAGCUGUUGGAGAACAGAUAUAACUGGAGCCAGAUGCUGUCACUUCUGAAUUUAUUUAGCAAAACAGGUUACAGCAAGGAACAGUUAGGUGGCAUGAUAAGGCAGCAUCCAGGAAUUCUAUUUGAGGGCUCAGGCUGUAAAACACUAUCCCUGAUUGGUUUUCUAUUCAAAUUUGGAUCUUCAAUGAACCAGAUAUGUUCCAUGUUUCUACAUUUCUCUCACUUGCAAAUUGGAAAAUUUGUGUUGAAUUUGAGGCAAUGCUUUCUGUUUCUGAUAGAGAUUGAGAUGGACAUGAGUGAGAUUGGGAAGAUUGUUCGAUCCCACCCGCUUUUGUUGGGCUCAUGCACAUUGAAGAAAACCAAUACCUUACUUGGUACUUUGAAUGUUGGGAAGAAGAGACUAUGUAAAAUCAUUCAGGAUGACCCACGAGAAAUGACAAAAUGGGUAAUGGGAUCAAGAAUUGAACGACUGCCAAACUCAGGGGAGGAAUUAAAGUCAAGAAUGCAGAAGAUUAAAUUCUUGUUGGAUAUGGGAUUGGUAGAGAACACAGACAAAAUGGAAAAUGCACUCAAGGUAUUUCGAGGCAGAGGAACAGAACUCCAGGAGAGAUUUGAUUGCAUCGUGAAAGCUGGUUUGGAAAGCAAGGAUGUUUGUGAAAUGAUCAGACUUUCCCCUCAAAUUCUUAACCAGACAAAGGAAGUUAUUGAAAAAAAGAUUGAUUUUCUUGUAAAUGAUUUGGGCUAUCCCAUAUCGUGCUUAGUCAACUUCCCAGCAUAUCUUUCCUACACGAGACAAAGAGUUGAGAUUAGGGUAGCAAUGUAUAACUGGCUCAAAGAGCAAGGAACUGUUGAUUCCCUACUCGCCUUGAGCACUAUAGUUGCAAGCAUGGAAAACUAUUUUGUUAGACAAUAUGUAAAACAACAUCCUAGAGGCCUUGAAGUGUGGCAGGAUUUGAAGAAAAAAUUUUAUUCUUGAUAGAAGCUAUCAGUUGCACAUUAACUUGUUCUUCAAUGGGUUAUGCUUUCUUGAUAGAGAAGGUGUGGAAUUGUUUGAUUCUGUUACUUCUCCAGGCUGGGAAAUUUGUUGAUAAUAAUUUAUUCACACGCUGUGUAGUGUGUAUUGAAGCUAAUUAGUAGAAGGUUGAGCAUAUGAAGCAAAGGAGAUCUAAGAGCAGGUAAUGGUUAGUUUGUUUUCGAUAUUCUUCUUGUUUUAGACGGUGUUUGAGCAUUUGGCAUUCCCUCAGAAAUGAAUUGGUUUGCCAUGGUUGUAGCAUUGUAUUAUCUCAUUUCUGCUUUUAAUCUUCUUCGUUAUAGCAGUGACAGUGACUCCUUGUUUUAUGCCAAAAUGUAACUUUCAGAUUCCCAUAGAUAGAUUUAACUUAAUUUUUGACAACAUCUAACUUGAAA